UGGGAAGGCGGGGCCGCCGCCAGGAGGCUUGACGCCAGGAUGCUCCCGCCUGGGGCUGGUCCCCGCGAUGCCUUUCCUGACUAAGGCCCGGUGGUGGGGCGAGGCCCACGAGCGCUUUCGGUGGCCCGGCAUCCAGAGCCUCCAGAUGAAAACUCAGCUCAGCUGACCCCUUUAUUUCUGCUUUGUGGUUCACUUAGUAGAGGACCCAGUCACACCACGCUGGACGUCAGAACUACGGAAUUAAAUCUUCUGACAUCUUCAACUGCUCUGUGAAAUCUACUAUGCUAUGGUAAUAAGAAGUCCUCUAUGUGGUCAUAGGUCUGAGCCAAAGGAGGUGCACAGGAACAAUACUGAAUGAGAAAAAGGAGCCUUAAACUUCCAAGAUCACACAACGAUUUGUUGGAGGACCUAAGAAUUCAAACCCAGUAAGAAUUCAAGAGUUAUCGAUGAAUCAGCAAAAGUUCAAACAGUGAGAAGGAAAUGCCAACAGCAAUUCUAGAACUGGACAGUUGUAAAUGGCUGCCAAGGUAAGUAUUUGUCUCCCUCAUUAUGUUGCACAAAGUAAAACUUCCAAAUUUUUUAACUGAAGAGUUGUUAAUGCAUAGGUGACUUGAAGCCAUUUUUCAUCUUAGUUCCCUUGAUAGGAAAAACUCAAGUAGAGCUGAUGCUUCAUUGUGUUCCUAAUUGAAGAAAAGUAAUACAAUAGAAUCCUGCUCACAAAGAUUGGGAAGAUAAAUGGGUUGAAUGAAGAAGCUUGA